AAAAUUCUUCUCUACGUGUAGUCUAUCUAAGGUCACUAAACAGUUCUCUACAUGUAUUCUGUUUAAGGUCUCUAAAUAGUUCUCUACAUGUAAUGUGUACCAUGACUAAACAUUUCUCUACAUGUAGUCUAUACAAGGUCUCUAAACAGUUCUCUACAUGUAGUCUGUACAAGGUCUCUAAACAGUUCUGUACAUGUAGUCUGUACAAGAUCUCUAAUCAGUUUUCUACAUGUAGUCUGUACAAGGUCUCUAAACAGUUCUCUACAUGUAUUCUGUUUAAGGUCUCUAAAUAGUUCUCUACAUGUAAUGUGUACAAUGACUAAACAUUUCUCUACAUGUAGUCUAUACAAGGUCUCUAAACAGUUCUCUACAUGUAGUCUGUACAAGGUCUCUAAACAGUUCUGUACAUGUAGUCUGUACAAGAUCUCUAAUCAGUUUUCUACAUGUAGUCUGUACAAGGUCUCUAAACAGUUCUCUACAUGUAAUGUGUACAAGGUCUCUAAACAGUUCUCUACAUGUAGUCUGUACAUGGUCUCUAAUCAGUUCUCUACAUGUAGUCUGUACAAGGUCUCUAAACAGUUCUCUACAUGUAAUGUGUACAAGGUCUCUGAACAGUUCUCUAUAUGUAGUAUGUACAAGGUCUCUAAACAGUUGUAUACAUGUAGUCUGUACAAGGUCUCUAAACAGUUCUCUACAUGUAAUGUGUACAAGGUUUCUGAACAGUUGUAUACAUGUAGUCUGUACAAGGUCUCUAAACAGUUCUCUACAUGUAAUGUGUACAAGGUCUCUAAACAGUUCUCUACAUGUAGUCUGUACAUGGUCUCUAAUCAGUUCUCUAUAUGUAAUCUGUACAAGGUCUCUAAACAGUUCUCUACAUGUAAUGUUUACAAGGUCUCUGAACAGUUCUCUACAUGUAGUCUGUACAAUGUCUCUAAACAGUUCUCUAUAUGUAGUCUUUACAAGGUCUUUAAACAGUUCUCUACAUGUAGUCUGUACAAGGUCUCUAAACAGUUCUCUACAUGUAGUCUGUACAAGGACUCUAAACAGUUCUCUACAUGUAGUCUGUACAAGAUCUCUAAACAGUUAUCUAGAUGUAGUCUAUACAAGAAUUGUAAACAGUUCUCUACAUGUAGUCUGUACAAGGACUCUAAACAGUUCUCUACAUGUAGUCUGUACAAUGUCUCUAAACAGUUCUCUACAUGUAGUCUGUACAAGAACUAUAAACAGUUCUCUACAUGUAGUCUGUACAUGGUCUGUAAACAGUUCUCAACAUGUAGUCUGUACAAGGUCUCUAAACAGUUCUCUACAUGUAAUGUGUACAAGAACUCUAAACAGUUCUCUAUGUGUAGUCAGUACAAGGUCUCUAAACAGUUCUCUAUAUGUAGUCUGUACAAGGUCUCUAAACAGUUCUCUACAUGUAGUCUGUACAAGGUCUCUAAACAGUUCUCUACAUGUAGUCUGUACAAUGUCUCUAAACAGUUAUCUAGAUGUAGUCUAUACAAGAUCUCUAAACAGUUCUCUAUGUGUAGUCUGUACAAGGUCUUUAAACAGUUCUCUAUAUGUAGUCAGUACAAGAUCUCUAAACAGUUCUCUCCAUGUAGUGUGUACAAGUACUCUAAACAGUUCUCUACAUGUAGUCUGUACAAGGACUCUAAACAGUUCUCUACAUGUAGUCUGUACAAUGUCUCUAAACAGUUAUCUAGAUGUAGUCUAUACAAGAUCUCUAAACAGUUCUCUAUGUGUAGUCUGUACAAUGUCUCUAAACAGUUCUCUACAUGUAAUGUUUACAAGGUCUCUGAACAGUUCUCAACAUGUAGUCUGUACAAGGUCUCUAAACAGUUCUCUACAUUUAGUCUGUACAAGAUCUCUAAACAGUUAUCUACAUGUAGUCUGUACAAGGUCUCUAAACAGUUCUCUCCAUGUAGUGUGUACAAGGACUCUAAACAGUUCUCUACAUGUAGUCUGUACAAUGUCUCUAAACAGUUAUCUAGAUGUAGUCUAUACAAGAUCUCUAAACAGUUCUCUAUGUGUAGUGUGUCCAAGGAUGGAUGGGGCCAGAAGAGGGAAUCAAAGUGUUUAAUAUGAAUAGGAAAAAUCUGUAAAAAUCUAAAAGUUUAUUCAAAUCAUAACCAUCUGGGGUAGGUUGGGUCCACAAUAGGGGAUCAAAGUUUUACUUGCAGAUAUGUGGGAAAGAUCUUCUUACAGUCCCUGAAACAGUCUACUUUCCCACUUGAAUGGUGAACUCACGGUGAGCGAACCGUGAACGCACGCAGAGCGAACGGAGAGCGCACGGUGAAUGCACGCAGAGCGAACGGUGAACGCACGCAGAGCGAAAGGUGAACGCACGCAGAGCGAAUGCUGACGCAAUUUGGUGAACGUGAACGGUGAACGCUUUGUGAACGGUGAAUGCAUGGUGAGAGCAAAACUGUAAAUGGAGAGCGCACGGUGAUCGAACGGUGAACGCACGGAAAAGCAGCUUGGUCUGACACAUUCCAAGGUGGCUGGCUGAUUA